rnacentral:rRNA from 1 species
GUAUAGAACCUACCUUUUACUGGAGAAUAGCCCAGAGAAAUUUGGAUUAAUGCUCCAUAGUAUCAUUUUUUGGCAUCAUUAGGUGAUUAAAGAUUUAUCGGUAAAAGAUGGCUAUGCGUUCUAUUAGCUAGUUGGUAUGGUAACGGCAUACCAAGGCGACGAUAGAUAGGGGUCCUGAGAGGGAGAUCCCCCACACUGGUACUGAGACACGGACCAGACUCCUACGGGAGGCAGCAGUGAGGAAUAUUGGACAAUGGAGGCAACUCUGAUCCAGCCAUGCCGCGUGUAGGAAGACUGCCCUAUGGUUGUAAACUACUUUUAUAGAGGAAGAAACCGCUCUACGUGUAGAGCUCUGACGGUACUCUACGAAUAAGGAUCGGCUAACUCCGUGCCAGCAGCCGCGGUAAUACGGAGGAUCCAAGCGUUAUCCGGAAUCAUUGGGUUUAAAGGGUCCGUAGCGGGUUUGUAAGU